CAUCUUUGUUGAUGUGUCAGCUCCGCGGGGGUUUUGGCGAGCGGCGGCGGUGGAGAGAGUCGGGGAAUUGUCUCUUAUCUCCACCGCCGUCUUUUCCGCCCACUCGUGGUCUGGCGGUCCCACCAUGAAAAAGUUGACCCUUGAGCCGGAGCGCCAGAGGUCCCGUUGGGGUGCGGCCUGAGGCUUGGAGAAGUGCGAUUCCUCAUCUUCUGCACAUUAGUUUCUGACUUUCUGGGCUGCAUUUCUGUUGCAAUAGCAUUAGCUAGUCAAUUAACUGGUCAUGUGAAAACUGCUUCAUUCUUGGAUUGCUUUCUAAAAAUUGGUAA